CAAUUGCAAGAAAAACCUAUCACAUCUCAUUAUUCCGUAAACAAUAUGAUGUAACAACUAUUUACAUAGCCUUUAUAUUGAAUUAGGUAUUAUAAGUAAUCUAAAUAUUAUUUAAAGUAUACAGGAGGAUGUGUAUAUCACUUUGGACUUCUACAUGAUGAGAAAUAAUUUCUUUCUUACUUAAAUCACUGUACGAGAUACAACACUUUAUAUUUGGUCAUUUUCACCAUGUGCUAUUAAUGCUAAGGUCCCUAGGUUUACUAUGGUGCCUGUUGUCCUUCAUUCAAUAAACACUUAUUGCAUGCCUACUACAUGCCAGGCACCACACCAAGGGAACCAGUUGAGAAGUGUUUCAACUAUAAAACUUGAAAUUACCUUUAAAUUCAAAUGACACUGAAAACAAUAUGCAUCCCCAAAGUGCUGUCUGAGAAGGUACAGUUUCUUUGCACUUUUAAGAGGAGAAUGGAAAGUCACUCCCUUCUCAUUCCCUUCUAAUUGGAGAAGACAUCCACAGAGAUGCAUGUUCUCAUAGGUGGAACAUACAGCCCCAUCAUGAAAGGAAGAUGCAUAAAAAUCAAUGCCCAGGGCAGAGGUUUAUAAGCCUGGGCCUCCAACAUGGAAUGUGGAAGGCCAAGGGUUUCUUGUUUUUAGGAGUGGUAGAGGGGAA
rnacentral:lncRNA from 1 species